rnacentral:rRNA from 1 species
UGGGGAAUAUUGCACAAUAGGCGCAAGCCUGAUGCAGCCAUGCCGCGUGUAUGAAGAAGGCCUUCGGUUGUAAAGUACUUUCAGUCGAGGAGGAAGGCAUUAAGGUUAAUAACCUUGGUGAUUGACGUUACUCGCAGAAGAAGCACCGGCUAACUCCGUGCCAGCAGCCGCGGUAAUACGGAGGGUGCAAGCGUUAAUCGGAAUUACUGGGCGUAAAGCGCACGCAGGCGGUCUGUCAAGUCGGAUGUGAAAUCCCCGGGCUCAACCUGGGAACUGCAUUCGAAACUGGCAGGCUAGAGUCUUGUAGAGGGGU